rnacentral:rRNA from 1 species
GUCCUGGCCGUAAACGAUGUCCACUAGAUCGUAGUCGCUCUGACGUGAUUACGGUCGAAGCCAAAGUGCUAAGUGGACCGCCUGGGAAGUACGGUCGCAAGGCUAAAACUCAAAGAAAUUGACGGGGGCUCACACAAGCGGUGGAGCAUGUGGUUCAAUUCGAAGCAACGCGCAGAACCUUACCUGGGCUUGACAUGCCAGGAUUAUCCCCAUGAAAGUGGGUAGGCCUCUUUGAGGUACAACUGGUACAGGUGCUGCAUGGCUGUCGU